UACGGAGGGGGCUAGCGUUGUUCGGAAUUACUGGGCGUAAAGCGCACGUAGGCGGACCAGCAAGUUAGGGGUGAAAUCCCGGGGCUCAACCCCGGAACUGCCUUUAAAACUGUUGGUCUGGAGGUCGAGAGAGGUGAGUGGAAUUCCGAGUGUAGAGGUGAAAUUCGUAGAUAUUCGGAGGAACACCAGUGGCGAAGGCGGCUCACUGGCUCGAUACUGACGCUGAGGUGCGAAAGCGUGGGGAGCAAACGGG
rnacentral:rRNA from 1 species